rnacentral:rRNA from 1 species
AGUGAACGCUGGCGGUAGGCCUAACACAUGCAAGUCGAACGGCAGCACAGAGGAGCUUGCUCCUUGGGUGGCGAGUGGCGGACGGGUGAGGAAUACAUCGGAAUCUACUCUGCCGUGGGGGAUAACGUAGGGAAACUUACGCUAAUACCGCAUACGACCUACGGGUGAAAGCAGGGGAUCUUCGGACCUUGCGCGAUUGAAUGAGCCGAUGUCGGAUUAGCUAGUUGGCGGGGUAAAGGCCCACCAAGGCGACGAUCCGUAGCUGUCGGAGAGGAUGAUCCGCCACACUGGAACUGAGACACGGUCCAGACUCCUACGGGAGGCAGCAGUGGGGAAUAUUGGACAAUGGGCGCAAGCCUGAUCCAGCCAUACCGCGUGGGUGAAGAAGGCCUUCGGGUUGUAAAGCCCUUUUGUUGGGAAAGAAAUCCAUCUGGUUAAUACCCGGGUGGGAUGACGGUACCCAAAGAAUAAGCACCGGCUAACUUCGUGACAGCCGCCGCCGUAA